CUCACAUGUUUAAUUAUUAACAAUACAGAUUAUUUAAAUGAAGUUAAAGUUUUAUCUGUAUAAUAUAAUCAACUUAUUUUGCUGCAUUUCAUCUUAAAAAUGAUAUUGUCAUCAUAUGUAAAUACGCGCUUUAUAAAGUGGCACAGGUUGUGCGAUAUUAUAACUGUAUCCCAAGUUUACAGUGAAGUGAUUGUACUUCUAAGUCAAAACAGUUCUACAAGGAGCACUUGAUGGAUUGAUUUAGUGCGUUUAUAGUUCUUGGGAUGAAACUUUUUCCAAACCGCGAAGUCCGUACAGGAAAGCGUCUGCUUCAUGCUGUAUACCGAUAAUUCUCUUUCCGAUCAGCUGCUGCUAUGAUUCCCCACUCAGAUACAGUGAUAUAAAUACUCCGAGUGGUGCAGUGAGAGUAAUAUGGAAAAAGAUGAUCAGCUGUGGCAACCCUUAACGGGAGCAGCUGAAAGAGGAAGAAGAUGCACUGAGAGUAACAACGCUAAAGCAGUUAUGGUAUUUGGAAUACUAUGGCUAUUCCCUGGACCAUUAUAUUGCUGCAGGUUAAUUACAAUCAGAUGCAUUACACUAAUAAACAAUAUGCAGUUAGUUUCAGUGUAUUUAUAAAGCCGCGUCAGGAAUGUGGAUCUAAGAAAGAAAGGGUGACCACUCAGGAACAGUAGCACUGCUUUGACGCUGGGUGACACCAGUCUGCAAAACCGAGUGGAGAAAUUGCAUUCUCCAGGGCAUGAGGUACCGUGGAAAAGUGCCUGGCUUUACCCCAAGUUUAGGUUUUAUACAUCGCGACUUGAGUGUGGAAACGUUUGUACGCAACAUUUCUGUGCGUACGCACCGUUUAUACAUGAGGCCCCACGUCUUGAGCCUGGGUCAGACAGUCGGUGUCCUGAAAUGAAGAGAAAAUCUCUAUCACAGUUUAAAGGCUGGCCUGAGAAGAACUUGUGGCUUCCUGUUUCAGACUCAGUUGAGUCAUGCUGGUGUUGGUUAACCAUUUGCAUGACUUGCCAGAUUAUAAAAUUCCACCAGCCCCCCUAGUAAGUAUCUAAUGCAAUGGGAAACAUCAGUUGGGUAUCAGAGUUCUCAUAAAAAAGAUGCUCUGCCUACAUAAGAGGUUUGCCCAGACUUGUGCUGCUUUUCACCUAUCCUGUUUUAUUGCUUUGUCAAAUUAUUGAUAUGGACAGUUUCAGGCCUUUAAUGACUUAGAUGGUCAUUUCCUGGUGGGUGGGACUGAACUGAGUGUCUGCCUUGGGGGUUGCCAACCAGGAUCCUGAGCUGUUUCAUUGUGUGGUGGGUGUGGCAAUGCACUCUACCAAUGCAUGCUGCCCAACCUAACCUAUCCUGGCCUGAUAGUUUCAGAUUGCCUUAUUGAUUCUGUGUUUGAACUAUUAAGCACUUAUGUUUAUGACUGCAUUAAAUUAGAUACCUUAAGCUAAUUUUGAGGUGGACACUACUACCAGAGCAAAGUCAUUAGUAACUUUUUUUUUUUUUCAUGGACUAUCUUCAUCUUUUGCAUACUUAUGACUCAAUACAUUUUAUACAACAAGACUUUUACCCUUAAUAUCUAUCAGUACCUGCAAGGUUAUACAUUUUUACACUAUCAAAAUACCUAUUAUUUUCUAACUUGUAUCUGUUCAGAAGGAGAGUAGUUUAACACCUGGCCUUUGCACAAGACUGAAAUGUUAUUUAAUCAUGUUUUAAUGAAGAUGAUAUUAUAUAACAUAUAUUAUGGGCUUUUAUAAGGAUGAAUUACUCAAAUUAUGGUACAAAGCAGUGUAGUGAAUAAUUAAGGAGCCUUAGAGAGGAGCAUUAAAGGCAGAAAUGUAAAUGUGUACACAGUGCAAGAAUAUAUUCUUGCAUUGUUCAGAGUAUUUUUUCUGAUAUGCAGGACAAUUUCUCCUUGGGGACAAAUAAGUAUUAUCAAUCUAUUGAAUUCAGAAACACUCUUCAAGUAGACAUGUGAUGCUGUGCAUUCUAUAUAUCUGGCAGACAAUAAACUGUCUCACAGCCCAAAGAUUUCUUAUAGUCUUGAGCCUACAGUAUGUUGUUAUUUUUGCACAAAAAAUCAGCUCUAUAAAUUCAGCUCUGCCUAAAUUGUAUGAUUCAUGUCGCCAGACUCUUGAGGCAUAAACUGCAGAAGGUUUAAUUCUUUGCCACAAGAAUGGAUUUAUAGUCAAGCCAUACAUCUGAGCCAUACCCCUCCUUGACAGUGCACUUCAUCGAUGAAACCUGGCAUAAGCUACUGUUUGCAAACAUCCUACUUCCCAGAAGACCACACAGGCAACAUUCAUUGCGCAAGGUCUGAAAUAUGUGCUGGUAUCAUGGUCGCUGUGAGAUGACUGCAUGGUUUGUAUGAUAACAGACAGUGGGGUUAACGUUGUCAGUGUCAUAUGGAUUAACAAUUGGAAGAAGCUUCCUUAUUUUGGACAUAGGCUUCCUAUUGCCAUUGGUGAGUAAUUUGGGUUCCAAAUGCAGUUUUAAGUGAAAUUGAUCUAGUAUGGAGCCCUGUAGGUGUCAGGCAAAAAUAAAACAAUUCAGUUUAGAUGAAUUAUUGAUCAGUUUGGACAAAUUACAUAAUUUGAAUGGAUAUGUUUUAUUUCUGUUAGAAGCAUAUGCCUAUUGGGUGUGUUUUACUUUGCAAGCCGUCUUGGUGUGGGGUCCUCAAUUUGAGAGCACAUUUUUUUCUUUCAUUAUUUAAAACACUUGCACAGGUCCCUGCCUACUCUCCCCAUUCCAUCCCACCCCUAUAACUGCAAAAGUUGGAGCAGGUGAUGACACAAGGAAGGGAGCAAAAAAGAAAAAAAAAGUCUUUUGGCAGCUAUUUAGAAAAA